AUUGAACGCUGGCGGCAGGCCUAACACAUGCAAGUCGAGCGGAGCGGCGGACGGGUGCGUAAUGCCUAGGAAUCUGCCUGGUAGCGGGGGCUAACGUCCGGAAACGGGCGCUAAUACCGCAUACUAUCAGAUGAGCCUAGGUCGGAUUAGCUAGUUGGUGGGGUAAAGGCCUACCAAGGCGACGAUCCGGAACUGGUCUGAGAGGAUGAUCAGUCACGCUGGAACGAGGACACGGUCCAGACUCCAACGGAGGGCAGCAGUGGGGAGUAUUGGACAAUGGGCGAAGUCCGGAGCCAGCCAUGCCGCGUGUGUAAGGAAGGUCUUCGGAUUGUAAGGCACUUUAAGUUGGGAGGCGUUACCAACAGAAUAAGCACCGGCUAACUUCGUGCCAGCAGCCGCGGUAAUAC
rnacentral:rRNA from 1 species